UACGAAGGGGGCUAGCGUUGCUCGGAAUCACUGGGCGUAAAGGGUGCGUAGGCGGGUCUUUUAAGUCAGGGGUGAAAUCCUGGAGCUCAACUCCAGAACUGCCUUUGAUACUGAGGAUCUUGAGUCCGGGAGAGGUGAGUGGAACUGCGAGUGUAGAGGUGAAAUUCGUAGAUAUUCGCAAGAACACCAGUGGCGAAGGCGGCUCACUGGCCCGGUACUGACGCUGAGGAGCGAAAGCGUGGGGAGCGAACAGG
rnacentral:rRNA from 1 species